GUGUCUACGUAUACGAUGAGCUCGAGCGCAUGAGCGGAUGGAUCUCUUCGUUGUGAUCGCUUCUCGGGUGAGUUUGCGUGGGUAACGGGGCUGGCUGAUGGGAUGCUCCGGGGAAUACUUGCUUUCCCGGAUGGUUGUCUGAACCGCAUGGUACCGACAUGAAAGGUGGUUUCGGUUACCUGUUGCGAUGGGCCCGCUCCUUUUAGCUAGUUGGUGAGGUAACGGCUCACCAAGGCGACGAUGCGUAGCCGACCUGAGAGGGUGAUCGGCCACACUGGGACUGAGACACGGCCCAGACUCCUACGGGAGGCAGCAGUAGGGAAUCUUCCGCAAUGGACGAAAGUCUGACGGAGCAACGCCGCGUGAGUGAUGAAGGUUUUCGGAUCGUAAAGCUCUGUUGUUAGGGAAGAACAAGUGCCGUUCAAAUAGGGCGGCACCUUGACGGUACCUAACCAGAAAGCCACGGCUAACUACGUGCCAGCAGCCGCGGUAAUACGUAGGUGGCAAGCGUUGUCCGGAAUUAUUGGGCGUAAAGGGCUCGCAGGCGGUUUCUUAAGUCUGAUGUGAAAGCCCCCGGCUCACCGGGGAGGGUCAUUGGAAACUGGGGAACUUGAGUGCAGAAGAGGAGAGUGGAAUUCCACGUGUAGCGGUGAAAUGCGUAGAGAUGUGGAGGAACACCAGUGGCGAAGGCGACUCUCUGGUCUGNUACUGACGCUGAGGAGCGAAAGCGUGGGGAGCGAACAGGAUUAGAUACCCUGGUAGUCCACGCCGUNAACGAUGAGUGCUAAGUGUUAGGGGGGUUUUCCGCCCUUAGUGCUGCAGCUAACGCAUUAAGCACUCCGCCCUGGGGAGUACGGUCGCAAGACUNGAAACUCAAGGAAUUGANCGGGGGCCGCACAAGCGGUGGAGCAUGUGGUUUAAUUUCGAAGCACGCGAAGAACCUUACCAGGUCUUGACAUCCUCUNGACAUCCUAGAGAUAGGACGUCCCCCUUCGGGGCAGAGUGACAGGUGGUGCAUGGUUGUCGUCAGCUCGUGUCCUGAAAUGUUGGGUUAAGUCCCGCAACGAGCGCAACCCUUGAUCUUAGUUGCCAGCAUUUCAUUUGGCACUCUUAAGUGACUGCCGGUGACAAACCGGAGGAAGGUGGGGAUGACCUCAAUCCUCAUGCCCUUAUGACUGGGCUACCACGUGCUACAUGGACAAAACAAGGCAGCCAACCGCCAGUUAACCCAUCCACAAUCUGUCUUCAUUCG
rnacentral:rRNA from 1 species